UUGAGGAGUGGCUUCCGGAGCUAACGCGUUAAGUCGACCGCCUGGGGAGUACGGCCGCAAGGUUAAAACUCAAAUGAAUUGACGGGGGCCCGCACAAGCGGUGGAGCAUGUGGUUUAAUUCGAUGCAACGCGAAGAACCUUACCUACUCUUGACAUCCAGAGAACUUAGCAGAGAUGCUUUGGUGCCUUCGGGAACUCUGAGACAGGUGCUGCAUGGCUGUCGUCAGCUCGUGUUGUGAAAUGUUGGGUUAAGUCCCGCAACGAGCGCAACCCUUAUCCUUUGUUGCCAGCGGUCCGGCCGGGAACUCAAAGGAGACUGCCAGUGAUAAACUGGAGGAAGGUGGGGAUGACGUCAAGUCAUCAUGGCCCUUACGAGUAGGGCUACACACGUGCUACAAUGGCAUAUACAAAGAGAAGCGACCUCGCGAGAGCAAGCGGACCUCAUAAAGUAUGUCGUAGUCCGGAUUGGAGUCUGCAACUCGACUCCAUGAAGUCGGAAUCGCUAGUAAUCGUGGAUCAGAAUGCCACGGUGAAUACGUUCCCGGGCCUUGUACACACCGCCCGUCACACCAUGGGAGUGGGUUGCAAAAGAAGUAGGUAGCUUAACCUUCGGGAGGGCGCUAUCA
rnacentral:rRNA from 1 species